rnacentral:lncRNA from 1 species
AAAUGCCUCAGGACUGGAGGUCCUCCCACUCUGCUGAUGUGGGAGACCCCCCACGUGGGGACUGCCAGUAUACCGCUUCCCUUCGGGCUGGCCAGUCCUCAAGUAGAGACACUGAGGUAGGGCAAGCGCAUCUACGGGGAAGAGCGCUGCCUCGGGCGUUAAUGGGAGAGAGAGCUGAGGCAGAAGGGGGAUCGGAACUCCCGCUCCAGAAGCGUGAAGGUGGGGGUGUAUGAGAGCACCCACCCAGAACCUUGCAGGAAAAAGUUGCUUUGCACAUGGGUGACCCCGCAGGCCACAUCAUCCACACAUCCAUACGCCGCCCCGUAGGUAAGGGGUCCGGGCCUCCAGGACAGGAGACUCAGCUCUGGGAGGACGGCCACCAUCUCUGGCUCAGUCACAUUUGGUCCCCAGAUUCUGGCAACCCUGGGUAAAAGCUCAGUCACCUGACCUAGUGACGACCACAAGGGCACUGGGAGGCAUCCCAAGACCCAGCUCACUCCAGGGCUGGACCUCAACCUUGUACCUGCAGUGAACCGGGCAAACAUGGCUUUCCGGACAGCAUCUUUGUAGGAAUCGGCGCCCGACAAACCAUAUGCGCUGCCUUUGGCUCCUAGGCCAGCUCCCUUUAGCCGAACUUGAGCCUGGGAAAGCACAGAGACUGUCAGCUGGGAGGUAGGGUAUGGGCUGCUCCACCUCUCACCAUGCCCACUCCUUACCCAGCAGGACCACCCACCAGGAGACAGAAGAGAGAAAACUGUAUAUGAAGACAAGGAUUUCUCCAGAAGAGACCAGGAGCAAGUAUAAGGACUGGAGGAAUAAAAUGGGCUACGGAACACAGGCAGAUGAAGCAAAUCACCCACCCCUCAAUGCCUGCUCAGCAAGCAUCCACGCCUAGGAAAGGGCCCCAAAGUAUUCCUCUGAAGGUCUGGGAAAGGUAUGGUAAUUACAGGCACACAUUAUACAGGAUAGCUCAAUGUCAGCAGAACUCACAUAAACAGGAUGAACAUGGUCUACAAGAGUCUGACCUAAGCUGUGCUCCCAGGACAGAGCAGGGGCAAUUACGGGUGGAGCUCCUGCCUAGAAGGCCAGUGGGUAGGGGCCUCCGAUCCUGGGAUAUGAUGCCUCAAUGUGGGCUCUGAUCAAUUUAAAGAUUUCUUAUCAUGGGUGAAAACCCUACUAAAUUUUUUUUUUUUUUGAGACAGAGUCGCUGUUGCCCAGGCUGGAGUGCAGUGGCGUGAUCUCGGCUCACUGCAACCUCCUCCUGCCAGGUUCUAGCAAUUCUCCUGCCUCAGCUUCCUGACUAGCUGGGAUUACAGGCACACGCUGCCACGUCCAGUUAAUAUUUUGUAUUUUAGUAGAGACGGGGUUUCACCGUGUUGCCCAGGCUGGUCUCAAACUUCUGGGCUCAGGCAAUCCACCCUCCUCGGCCUCCCAAAGUGCUGGGAUUACAGGUGUGAGCUCAUGCCUGUAAUCUGCCCCUUCAUGCUAAGGUAAAGCUGCUCCUGGCUCCCAGGCUCUAUGAGUGCUCUGAUCUCAUCUCUGGAACCGGCCUGUAAGCCUGGCAAACAUCAAGACCUGACCCCACUGCUUACCUCAAUGGGAGCCGUAAUGCCUUGACACUUUCGUCCCAAGCCAGAGCCUUCCCGCCAGCCCAUGGCCUGCAGCAUCUUGUUGCCAAUGUUACUGUGGUCAAUGCCAUCUUUGGUGGGUUGCUCGUAAUUCCUGCCAGUGGCAAACACACAGUUACUUAAAACAGCCAGGGCCCCAGCUUACGAACUGGAAAAUGUGCACAUCACAUACACAGUGCCGGCAUCAAACUGCUUCUUGCGCUUGGGCUCUGGAGGUUCUGGAAUGCCGUACUUCUCCCGUCUUUCUGCAGCUCGGUCUCGGUAUUUCAUCUACAUGGGAGAAAAAACACUGCUGGAAAUGUUCACAGACUUCAACCUGUAACCGUCUAAUGCACCUAUUCAAAACUAUCCCCUCAAGUAUUUUUAAAUCUGAAGAAUGCUUUUUUUAGACUGCUCUGAAAUACCAAAUUCCCUUGUUCCCAUCAUCAUACCUAGUCAUAUCUGAAAUGUUAAAUUUGUAAAUAUGAAUUGUGUGGAACCAGGGGCAGAACUAUGUCUCCAACAAGCAGUUUUAUUUAAUUAGCCACCCUCUGUCAAGCUACUCAACCAGCCCACUGGGCAGUGGGUACAGCUUGCGAAGAGGAAGGCAGAGUUGCCCGUUCUCCUCAGCAUUUGGACAGGCAUACCUCCAACAUUUGGAAAGGCAUACCUCCAACAUCAAGGAGGCUUCCAGAGACCUGUUCAGCAGUCGCUGGGGAGGUGGAACCAUAGAUAGUAGGGCAGGAAGGGUGUGGGGAGAAGAAAAGCAAAAGCCUUAACUACAAACACUUCAGAAAUAUCUCAGGUGGGAGAUUUCAAACCCACUUGCUCAUUUCUAAACCACAGGCCUCUAUUUGCAUUUAAAUCCCUGCCCACCUGGCCGCCAACCUGCCCCAACCACCAGCACUAACUGCUUGCCCAUUAUUGUGUCACAGGCUUCUCUCUUGCCUUUGUUCCCAGAUCUGCUUGCCAUGCCCUGCCCACCCUUCCUUUCAUAUCACCUGCAAUAACCUCACGUCCUGCUGUCCCUUGGGAUUAAUUUGAAGCGCACUUCUUUGCCCAUGAAGGCUUCCCUGGCCAGGCCAAACUAGACCACUCUCUCCAUAACAAAAUCCAGCGUAUUUAAGCAGCAAGCUCUGGCAUUGCUGUGAGAGAGUCUCGGCAGUGUGCUUCUGCCUUGUGCACCCUUAUGAUGAAGGGACAAUGUGAGGCUCACAAGGCACACAGAGGCUGGGUCUAGGCUACAUGAACUACAAUGGUCAGAUGACAAGGGUAUGACAAAUCCUCCUACCCUGCCCCUGGGAUCUGGAACUAAAUGCUACAAAUAAAAGCUAAAGGCAAU